rnacentral:lncRNA from 1 species
CUCUAGCCAAGACUAGGUAGGUAAUAAAUCACGUAGCUGUCGCUUCUGAUUGUCUCGUGUGUUCUACUCACUGGCAUCCCUGCCUGGACUGGGAAAAAGUCAUCACCCUCUGCCCAAGCCCUGUGCAGCUUGGCCCACCUGAGCCUCUUGCUACUGAAAUGACUCUCCUUCCCUUAUAUCACCAGAAGAGAUGGGUCCACCUAGAGGAAGGAGCAAAACAGGAGUUAAACUGCAGAGCAUGAUCAAGAGUCGGUCUCACUCACCCUGAUUCGGGAAGUUGGAUUCCACCACUCUGUGGUUCAGGGGCUGGGUCCUGCGGUAAUCGUUGUGGAUGGUCUUGUUGCGGUGAUCCAGUAAGGAAUUCUCCAGCUUCCAAACCUGGGGGCAACGUGAGUGCAUUAUGGAGGGGAAGAGUCACUGGGUAAUUUAAAAGAAAUAACAGUUGGCCCGGCGCAGUGGCUCACGCCUGUAAUCCCAGCAUUUUGGGAGGCUGGGGCGGGCAGAUCACUUGAGCUCAGGAGUUGGAGACCAGCCUGGCCAACAUGGUGAAACCUCUUCUCUACUAAAAAUUAGCUGAUCAUGGUUGUGUGCACCUGUAAUCCCAGCUACUCAGGAGGCUGAGGCAGGAGAAUCGCUUGAACCUGGGAGGCAGAGGCUGCAGUAAGCCAGUAUCACGCAACCGCACUCCAGCCUGGGAGACAGAGAGAAACUCUGUCUCAAAAAAAAUAAAAAAUAAAAAAGAAUUAACAACUGGG